rnacentral:rRNA from 1 species
UACAGAGGUCUCAAGCGUUGUUCGGAUUCAUUGGGCGUAAAGGGUGCGUAGGCGGCGCGGUAAGUCGGAUGUGAAAUCCCUCGGCUCAACCGAGGACGUGCAUACGAAACUGCGAGGCUCGAGUAUGGAAGAGGGUCGCGGAAUUCCCGGUGUAGAGGUGAAAUUCGUAGAUAUUCGCAAGAACACCAGUGGCGAAGGCGGCUCACUGGCCCGGAUACUGCGCUGAGGCACGAAAGCGUGGGGAGCAACAGG